rnacentral:lncRNA from 1 species
AGUAGAAAAAAUAUAGAUUAGUAUUGUGGAGUCCUCGAGAUCGUCAGAUGGACUGUGAUAGGUUUAUGACCUUACCGCGGUGCUGGCACAUUUGUGGGUAAGGAUAGGUAAUGAGGCGUAUCUCAGAUAAACAGAGAGAAACGACUGUCUUAACAACAAAAUUUCCUUUUAUUAACAGAAAAAAUUCUGUUAAUAAAAGGAAACAGAAAUUUCCUUUUAUUAACAGAAUGAUGUGGCGGAGGAAGGAAGAACUUCGGUAUCUUGUCAGGACAGAAGAUGGUAGAAUGAAAGAGAGGAUGGUCGGACAACUAAUGAUGAUGAAGAAGUUCUUUAUCGAAAGCAGAUGAUAGAUGCUUUUGGAGAUGAGCGAUGUAAAUUUCCACCGGAUCUUCGACGGAGAUGAGCAAUGGAUUGAAC